ensembl:processed_transcript
AUAUCCAUCCUAAUCUAAGAGAAAUUGAUGGGGUCAGGGAAUGAUUUGUGUACAAAUGUAUUUUAACCCCAUACAGAUUGGUAUGGUUGUACCAUAGAUUUAGAUUAAUUAAUGUUAAGUCUUAUUUUACUCUUAUUAUAUUUAUCUGUUUUUCAGCUACAGUAAUUGAUGUUGAAAAACUGAUGCAACCAAUCACUCCUCACUUGAUUAUUCAAGCCCAGAUUGUGAUGGACCUGGAAUGCGAAACCAGUUACUCUUAAGACAAGAACCGAAUAAAGCACAGAUGUGGAGGGAUUUGCAGCCAAACUAACUGGAGGGAAGGAACCUUUAGUGUGGGUGAACAUACUACCUGGAUGUCCAACAAAGGCUGCACAAGAGCUCAUUUGAUAGCACACAUUCUGUCCUGUCUACAUCUCUGAUGACCUGGAAGUGCUUCGACAUCAGAUCAUCAGAAGUGCUGCUGCCCUUUUUCACUGUCCCUUUCCACAUCAUUUGGCCUUCAUCAUUUCCUGUCUUGUAGCAGUAUUUUCACCUGUUUUUAAAAUUGUAAUAAUUUUUGAUGCAUUAAUUGUUGACUGGUUUUAAUGAUCAAUUGUUUAUUAGUGUUCUGUUGCUCUGUUAUAUUGAAUUAUUGCUACUGUUUUAGCAUG